AAAGAAACCAACCGGGAUUGCCCCAGUAACGGCGAGUGAAGCGGCAAGAGCUCAAAUUUGAAAUCUGGCCCCUCCGGGGUCCGAGUUGUAAUUUGCAGAGGAUGCUUCGGGUGCGGCCCCUGUCUAAGUGCCCUGGAACGGGCCGUCAGAGAGGGUGAGAAUCCCGUCUUGGGCAGGGUGCCCGUGCCCGUGUGAAGCUCCUUCGACGAGUCGAGUUGUUUGGGAAUGCAGCUCUAAAUGGGUGGUAAAUUUCAUCUAAAGCUAAAUACCGGCCGGAGACCGAUAGCGCACAAGUAGAGUGAUCGAAAGAUGAAAAGCACUUUGAAAAGAGAGUUAAACAGCACGUGAAAUUGUUGAAAGGGAAGCGCUUGCGACCAGACUCGGCCCCGGGGUUCAGCCAGCACUCGUGCUGGUGUACUUCCCCGGGGGCGGGCCAGCGUCGGUUUGGGCGGCCGGUCAAAGGCCCCAGGAAUGUGUCGCCCUCCGGGGCGUCUUAUAGCCUGGGGUGCAAUGCGGCCAGCCCGGACCGAGGAACGCGCUUCGGCACGGACGCUGGCGUAAUGGUCGCAAACGACCCGUCUUGAAACACGGACCAAGGAGUCUAACAUCUACGCGAGUGUUCGGGUGUCAAACCCGUACGCGCAGUGAAAGCGAACGGAGGUGGGAGCCCCUCACGGGGCGCACCAUCGACCGAUCCUGAUGUCUUCGGAUGGAUUUGAGUAAGAGCGUAGCUGUGGGGACCCGAAAGAUGGUGAACUAUGCCUGAAUAGGGCGAAGCCAGAGGAAACUCUGGUGGAGGCUCGCAGCGGUUCUGACGUGCAAAUCGAUCGUCAAAUUUGGGUAUAGGGGCGAAAGACUAAUCGAACCAUCUGGUAGCUG
rnacentral:rRNA from 1 species